CCCUUAGAUGUUCUGGGCUGCACGCGCGCUACACUGAUGCACUCAACGAGUUUACGACCUUGCCCGAUAGGGUUGGGUAAUCUUUUUAAAAUGCAUCGUGAUGGGGAUAGAUUAUUGCAAUUAUUAAUCUUCAACGAGGAAUUCCUAGUAAGCGCGAGUCAUCAGCUCGUGCUGAUUACGUCCCUGCCCUUUGUACACACCGCCCGUCGCUACUACCGAUUGGGAAAAUUUUAGAGAGUCCUGGACUGAUGAUUGUUCGGCUUCACGGCCUUACUUUCGUCGGGAAAGAAUUCGAUAAUAUUUUUCUAGAGGAAGUAAAAGUCGUAACA
rnacentral:rRNA from 1 species